rnacentral:rRNA from 1 species
AACGUAGGAGACAAACGUUAUCCGGAGUUACUGGGCGUAAAGGGCGUGUAGGCGGUCGACUAAGUCUGGCGUGAAAGCUCGCGGCUAAACCGCGAGAGGUCGUUGGAUACUGGUUGACUAGAGGACGGUAGAGGCGUGUGGAAUUCCGGGUGUAGUGGUGAAAUGCGUAGAGAUCCGGAGGAACACCAGUGGCGAAGGCGACACGCUGGGCCGUACCUGACACUAAAACGCGACAGCAUGGGGAGCGAACGGG